AUUGAACGCUGGCGGCAGGCUUAACACAUGCAAGUCGAACGAGCGGAGGACGGGUGAGUGAUGUCUGGGAAACUGCCUGAUGGAGGGGGAUGACUAGUGGAAACGGUGGCUAAUGCCGCAUACCACGCUAUCGGCCGUGGCGGGAUUAGCUAGUAGGUGGGGUAAUGGCACACCUAGGCGACGAUGCCUAGCUGGUCUGAGAGGAUGACCGGCCACACUGGAACUGAGACACGGCCCAGACUCCUACGGGAGGCAGCAGUGGGGAAGAUUGCACAAUGGGCGAAAGUCUGAUGCAGCCAUGCCGCGUGAGUGAAGAAGGCCUUCGGGUGGUAAAGCACUUUCAGCGGGGAGGCGUUAUUCGCAGAGGAAGCACCGGCUAACUCCGUGCCAGCAGCCGCGGUAAUUC
rnacentral:rRNA from 1 species